rnacentral:rRNA from 1 species
CCCUUAGAUGUUCUGGGCUGCACGCGCGCUACACUGAUGCGCUCAACGAGUUUAUGACCUUGCCCGGAAGGGUUGGGUAAUCUUUUCAAAACGCAUCGUGAUGGGGAUAGAUUAUUGCAAUUAUUAAUCUUCAACGAGGAAUUCCUAGUAAGCGCGAGUCAUCAGCUCGUGCUGAUUACGUCCCUGCCCUUUGUACACACCGCCCGUCGCUCCUACCGAUUGAGUGCUCAGGUGAAUAAUUCGGACUGCAGCAAUGUUUGGAUCCCGAACGUUGCAGCGGAAAGUUUAGUGAACCUUAUCACUUAGAGGAAGGAGAAGUCGUAACA